rnacentral:rRNA from 1 species
UACGUAGGGGGCUAGCGUUGUUCGGAAUUACUGGGCGUAAAGCGUGCGCAGGCGGUUGUGUAAGUCAGAUGUGAAAUCCCCGGGCUCAACCUGGGAAUUGCAUUUGAGACUGCACGGCUAGAGUGUGUCAGAGGGGGGUAGAAUUCCACGUGUAGCAGUGAAAUGCGUAGAUAUGUGGAGGAAUACCGAUGGCGAAGGCAGCCCCCUGGGAUAACACUGACGCUCAUGCACGAAAGCGUGGGGAGCAAACAGG